UACCAGCACCCCGAGUGGUCGGGACGUUUAUUGGGCCUAAAGCCUCCGUAGCCGGUUCUACAAGUCUUCCGUUAAAUCCACCUGCUUAACAGAUGGGCUGCGGAAGAUACUAUGGAGCUAGGAGGCGGGAGGGGCAAGCGGUACUCGAUGGGUAGGGGUAAAAUCCGUUGAUCCAUUGAAGACCACCAGUGGCGAAGGCGGCUUGCCAGAACGCGCUCGACGGUGAGGGAUGAAAGCUGGGGGAGCAAACCGG
rnacentral:rRNA from 1 species